rnacentral:rRNA from 1 species
AUAUGGCUCAGGAUGAACGCUAGCUACAGGCUUAACACAUGCAAGUCGAGGGGCAGCAUGACCUAGCAAUAGGUUGAUGGCGACCGGCGCACGGGUGAGUAACACGUAUCCAACCUACCGGUUAUUCCGGGAUAGCCUUUCGAAAGAAAGAUUAAUACCGGAUAGUAUAGCGAGAAGGCAUCUUCUUGUUAUUAAAGAAUUUCGAUAACCGAUGGGGAUGCGUUCCAUUAGUUUGUUGGCGGGUAACGGCCCACCAAGACAUCGAUGGAUAGGGGUUCUGAGAGGAAGGUCCCCCCACAUUGGAACUGAGACACGGUCCAAACUCCUACGGGAGGCAGCAGUGAGGAAUAUUGGUCAAUGGACGAGAGUCUGAACCAGCCAAGUAGCGUGAAGGAUGACUGCCCUAUGGGUUGUAAACUUCUUUUAUAUGGGAAUAAAGUGAGCCACGUGUGGCUUUUUGUAUGUACCAUACGAAUAAGGAUCGGCUAACUCCGUGCCAGCAGCGGC